AGUCGAGGGGCAUCAUGAGGUAGCAAUACCUUGAUGGCGACCGGCGCACGGGUGAGUAACGCGUAUGCAACCUGCCCGAUACCGGGGUAUAGCCCAUGAAAACGUGGAUUAACACCCCAUAGUACUUUUAUCCUGCCUGGGAUGGGAGUUAAAUGUUCAAGGUAUCGGAUGGGCAUGCGUCCUAUUAGUUAGUUGGCGGGGUAACAGCCCACCAAGACGAUGAUAGGUAGGGGUUCUGAGAGGAAGGUCCCCCACAUUGGAACUGAGACACGGUCCAAACUCCUACGGGAGGCAGCAGUGAGGAAUAUUGGUCAAUGGACGUAAGUCUGAACCAGCCAAGUCGCGUGAGGGAAGACUGCCCUAUGGGUUGUAAACCUCUUUUAUAAGGGAAGAAUAAGUUCUACGUGUAGAAUGAUGCCUGUACCUUAUGAAUAAGCAUCGGCUAACUCCGUGCCAGCAGCCGCGGUAAUACGGAGGAUGCGAGCGUUAUCCGGAUUUAUUGGGUUUAA
rnacentral:rRNA from 1 species